rnacentral:rRNA from 1 species
AGAACGAACGCUGGCGGCGUGCUUAACACAUGCAAGUCGAGUGCGCGUUCCGGUCGCAAGACCGGAAUGGCGCACGGCGCACGGGUGCGUAACACGUGGGUAAUCUGCCCUCUGAUGGGGAUAACUCGCCGAAAGGCGAGCUAAUUCCGCAUAAUAUUCCGGGAACUUAUGUUUCUGGACUGAAAGGCGUAAGUCGUCGGAGGAGGAGCCCGCGCACGAUUAGCUAGUUGGUAGGGUAAUGGCCUACCAAGGCUUUGAUCGUUAG